UAUUCUCAAUUCUUUUUUUUUUUUUAUUAAUAAUCCAAUUAUUCUCUAUGAUUCUUUAUUCUAUAUUUCUGCCUUUUUUACUAUCUGUUCUUUAUUUUGCACUUUUUGUCAUUAUUUUCUAUUCUUAAACUCCCAUCUUGAUUCCAGACCCUCAAAUAUACGUAAAUGUACGAAAGCUUGCAUGAGCCCCCUUGCAUGGUACGUCGAACACGAAAACCCGGAAAUCUUUUCACCGUUACCGUUUUUUAUACUAUGACGCAAAAUCCAUGGACGCUCACGCGAUCAUCUGUUGCUGUCUUUUUAUAAGUUUUUAAGAAUGGACAGAGAUAGAUGAUACAAGGAACUUUGGUUUUUCAAACUGGUGAAUCAAAAAUUUAUUAUAAACAGUUAAAUUGAAAUGGGUGACUUGUCGAUUAACUGGAAGAAACCGGGGAACGAAACAUAGAAAAUCAACGCAACAAAAGUCAAAGUGUUUUUGUUUUGAUGGAUAAUUUUACGUACCCUAAAAGCGGAACGAAAGCAUUUUCAAUAAAAGUACAUUUUGUACAUGUACUUCAACAGAACAGAAUUCAUUUGAGGCCUUGCUUUCUAGAUUAUAUAAUGGAUUCAUAGAUUGUCAUAUUGAUUUAUGUGCAUAAAAGGAGCAGUAGUCAAUGAAUAAUUUUAUGAUGAAAGCUUAUUACCAUGGUUACCAAAUGAAAGGAAAGUGCAGUAUUAGAAUCACUGGUGUACAUGUAGAUGCGGAUGUCCGGCAAAAAGAACUGGUAUCAAAAUACUAAAAGUAAAGGUGAACUACUUUAUGUUUAUGGAAUGAUUGUAAGGUAUUUAUAUUUGUCUUGCAGGUACAAUUCUUGCCAGAUUUUUUAAAACUUAUUCUAUAGGUUAAUAUCAGCAUAAUCCUAGUCAAGCUUUAUAAAUUUGGCCGAUCAACUUUUUUCAAAAGAGUUAUGCCCCUUGGAAAUAAUAAAUUUAUGGAAAAUGGCCUCGUAAAUGCUCUCAUUUUUUGUCGAGCCUUCGACUUUUGUCGAAAAAGCGAGACAUAGCGAUCCUACAUUCCGUCGGCGUCGGUGUCGGCGGCGUCCAAAAAUAUUCACUCUGUGGUUAAAGUUUUUGAAAUUUUAAUAACUUUCUUAAACUAUCCUGGAUUUCUACCAAACUUGGACAGAAGCUUGUUUAUGAUCAUAAGAUAGUAUCCAGAAGUAAAUUGUGUAAAAAAAAAUCUUGUUUUUCCGUAUUUUACUUAUAAAUGGACUUAGUUUUUCUGCCAGGAAACAUUACAUUCACUCUGUGGUUAAAGUUUUUAAAAUUUUAAUAACUUUCUCAAACUAUCCUGGAUUUGUACCAGACUUGGCCAGAUGCUUGUUUAUGAUCAUAAGAUAGUAUCCAGAAGUUAAUUUUAUUAAACAAAAAUCCUGUUUUUCCGUAUUUUACUUAUAAAUGGACUUAGUUUUUCUGCCAGGAAACAUUACAUUCACUCUGUGGUUAAAGUUUUUAAAAUUUUAAUAACUUUCUUAAACUAUCCUGGAUUUCUACCAAACUUGGCCAGAUGCUUGUUUAUGAUCAUAAGAUAGUAUCCAGAAGUAAAUUUAAAAAAAAAAAUCCUGUUAAUCCGUAUUUUACUUAUAAAUGGACUUAGUUUUUCUGCCAGGAAACAUUACAUUCACUCU